ACAGUUCAAAACAAUUAACAAAUAGCAUUAGUAAGCCCUUAUCUAUCAAUAAUUUCUUUAAAUGCAAAUGGACUAAACUCUCCAAUCAAAAGACAUACAGUGGCUGAAUGAAUUUAAAAACAAGAUCAAACCUUAUGCUGCCUAUAAGAGAUUAAUUUUAGAUUUAAGCAUACACAUAUGCUAAAAAUGAAGAGAUGGAAAAAGAUAUUCCAUGUAAAUGGUAACCAAAAGAGAGCAGGGGUACCUAUGUAUCAGAAAAAUAAACUUUAAGUCAAAAACCAUAAAAAGAGACAAAGAAGGUAAUUACAUAAUGAUAAAGGGGUCAAUUCAUCAAGAAGAUAUAAAAAUUAUGAAUAUAUAUGCACCCAACAUCAGAGCACCUAAACAUAAAUAACCCACUUGCAACAACGAACAGAUCAUUGAAAUGGAAAAUCAAUAAGGAAAUAGUGGACUUGAACAACACAGUAGACCCAAUGUACCUGACAGGCAUAUGCAUAUAUUCCAUCCAACAGUAGCAGAAGACACAUUCUUCUCAAGCACACACAAAAUUUCUCCAAUAUAGAUCAUCUAUUAGUCCAGAAAAUAAGUCUUGAAAAUUUUAAGAAAACUGACAUUAUAUUAAAUACUCCAUAAUGAUAUGAAAGCAGAAAUCAAUAAUAGAAGAAAAAUUGGAAAAUACACAAAUAUGUAGGAAUCAACCAAUACAUUCCUGAACAACCAAUCAAAAAACAUCACAACAAAAAUGUUUUAAAAUAUCGUGAGUAAAGGGAAAAUGGAAACACAACAUACCAAAACUUAGAACAUGCAGCGAAAGCAGUACUAAGAGGCAAGUUUACACUGAUAAAUGCCUACAUUUAGAUAAAAGACAGAACUCAAAUAUAAAAACCUAACUUUCAACCUCAAAGAACUAGAAGAAGAAAAACAAAUGAACAUCAAAUAUAGCAGAAGGAAAGAAAUAAAGAUCAGAACCAAAAUAAAUGAAAUAGUGACUAAAAAAAGAGUCAGAGAUCAAUAAAAUUAAGAGAUUUUCUGAAAAGAUGAACAAAAUUGACAAACCUUUAGAUUCCCUAAGAAAAAGAGAAAGAAGACUCAAAUAAAUAAAAUUUUAAAUGAAAAAAGGAACAUUACAACUGAAAGAAAAUAAAUAUAAAGGAUUGCAGGGCACGGUGGCUCACAACUGUAAUCCUAACACUUCGGAAGGCAGAAGUAUGAGGAUCACCUAAGCCUAGGAGUUCAAGACCAGCCUGGGCAAUAUAGUGGAACCCCAUCUCUACAAAAAUUAAAAUUAAAGAAAUUAGCCAGGUAUGGUGGAAUGUGCCUGUAGUCCCAGCUACUCAGGAGACUGAGACAGGAAGAUUGCUUGAGCCCAGGAGAUAAAGGCUGCAGUGAGCCAUGAUCGCACCACUGUACUCCAGCCUGGGCAACAGAGCAAGUCCCAGUGAAAAAAAAAAAAAAAAAGAAAAGAAAAGAGUCACAAGAGACUACUGUGAACAGCUAUAUACCAACCAAUUGGACAAGCUAGCAGAAAGAGUUAAAUUAUGAGAAACAUACAACCAACCAAGGCUGAAUCACAAAGAAAUAGAAAAUGUGAACAGAGAAAUCAGUAAGGAGAUUAAAUUAGUAGUCAAAAUUAUCUGAAGAAAGAAAAGCCCAGGACUCGAUGGCUUCACUCAUUAAUUCUAUCAAACUUUUAAAGAUUAAUCUAUGCCAAUUUUUCUCAAACUCUUCCAAAAAAUUGAACUGGAGGGGACAUUUCCAAAUUCAUUGUGUAAGGCCAGCAUUACACUGAUACCAAAGCCACACAAGGACAGUACAAAGAAAAAGAAAAUUACAGAACAAUAUCCCUGGCAAAUACUGAUGAACAAUUUUUCAGCAAAAUACUAGCAAAUGGAAUUCACCAGCACAUUAAAAAGAUCAUUCACUGUGAUCAAGUGAGACUUAUUCAGACAUACAAGGAUAGUUCAACAUAUGCAAAUCAAUAAGUAUGAUAAACCAUAUUAACAGAAUGAAGAAUAAAAAUGCAGAAAAAAAUUUAUAUAAUUCGAUGUCUUUUCAUGAUGAAAACUCUCAAUAAAUCAGGUAUAGAAGGAAUACACCCUGUCAUAUGACAAGGCCACAGCCAAUAUCAUAGUCAGUAGUAAAAAGCCAAAAGUUUUUUCUCCAUAAACAGGAAUAAAACAAGAUGACCACUCGCCAUUUUUAUUCAAUAUAGUAUUGAAGCUCCAAGCCAGAGGAAUUAGGCAAGAGUAAGAAAUUAAAGGCAUCCAAAUUAGAAAGGUAGUAAAAUAGCCUCUUUGCAAAUGACAUAAUCAUACAUAUAGAAAAUCCUAAAGACUCAACCAGAACACUGUUAGAACUAAUACACAAAUUCAAUAAAGUUGCAGAAUACAAAAUCAACAUACAAAAACUAGCUACAUUCCUGUACAGCAAGUAUGAACUCAGAAAUAGAAAUUAAGAAAAUAAUGCCAUUACAAUAGCACCAAAAAAUAAAAUAUUUAGUAAUAAAUUUUAUCAAGAAGGUAAAAUAUCUAUACACUGAAAAUUAUAAAAUACCUAUAAAAGAAACUAAAGAAGAUAAAAAUUAUAAAAUGCCUAUAAAAGAAAGUGAAGAAGAUAAAAAUCAAUAGAAAAGUAUCCUGUGUUCAUUAAUUGGAAGAAUUAAUAUUGCUACAAUGUCAUAUAACCCAAAGUGAUCUACAGAUUCAGUGUAAUCCCUAUCAAAUUCCAAUGAAAUUUUUCACAGAAAUACAAAAAACAACCCUAAAAUCCAUACAUUAGCACAAAAGACCCAGACUAGCCAAAGCAAUCUUAAGCAAGAACAAACCUAGAGGAAACACAUUACCCAAUAUUAAAAUAUACUAUGAAGCUAUGGUAAUCAAAUCAGUAUGAUACCAGCAUAAAAAAGACGGUAGACCAAUGGAACACAGUAGACAGUUCAGAAAUAAAUCUACACAUUUAUGCAAAAUUGAUCUUAGGCGAAGUUGCCAAGAAUGCAAAAUGGGAAACAACUGGUCUCUUCAAUAAAUGGUGCUAGACAAACUAGAUAUCCACAUUUAGAAGAAUAAAAUUGGAUUCUGAUCCCACAUCAUAAACAAAAAGCAACUCAAAAUGGAUUAAAUAGUUACAUAAAACAUGAAACUGUAAAAGUAUUAGAAGAAAACUUAGGGGAAUAGCUAUUUGACAUUGGUUUGGGCAGUGAUUUUCUGGACAUGGUCCCAAAAGCACAU
rnacentral:lncRNA from 1 species